CGGGGAAGCAGCUCGCUGAAACAACUCUCAGAGAACCUCUAGGUGGGUCUUUACACGUAUACACGUCAGCAGCCCUGUCUUUCUCUACCAUCAGCUAUACUCAUGGUACUGUCACUUCCUGUCUCUCCCUACCAUCAGCUAUACACACGGUACUGUCUCUUCCUGUCUCUCCCUACCAUCAGCUAUACUCACAGUACUGUCUCUUCCUGUCUCUCACUACCAUCAGCUAUACUCAUGGUACUGUCUACCUGUCUCUCCCUACCAUCAGCUAUACUCAUGGUACUGUCUCUACCUGUCUCUCCCUACCAUCAGCUAUACUCAUGGUACUGUCUCUACCUGUCUCUCCCUACCAUCAGCUAUACACACGGUACUGUCUCUUCCUGUCUCUCCCUACCAUCAGCUAUACUCACAGUACUGUCUCUUCCCGUCUCUCCCUACCAUCAGCUAUACACACGGUACUUUCUCUUCCUGUCUCUCCCUAGCAUCAGCUAUACUCAUGGUACUGUCUCUUCCUGUCUCUCCCUACCAUCAGCUAUACUCACAGUACUGUCUCUUCCUGUCUCUCCCUACCAUCAGCUAUACUCAUGGUACUGUCUCUACCUGUCUCUUCCUACCAUCAGCUAUACUCAUGGUACUGUCUCUUCCUGUCUCUCCCUACCAUCAGCUAUACUCAUGGUACUGUCUCUACCAUCAGCUAUACUCACGGUACUGUCUCUUCCUGUCUCUCCCUACCAUCAGCUAUACUCACAGUGCUGUCUCUUCCUGUCUCUCUCUACCAUCAGCUAUACUCACGGUACUCUCUUCCUGUCUCUCCCUACCAUCAGCUAUACCCAUGGUACUGUCUCUUACUACCAUCAGCUAUACUCACGGUUCUGUCUCUUCCUGUCUCUCUCUUCCAUCAGCUAUACUCAUGGUACUGUCUCUUCCUGUCUCUCUCUUCCAUCAGCUAUACUCACGGUUCUGUCUCUUCCUGUCUCUCUCUUCCAUCAGCUAUACUCAUGGUACUGCCUCUUCCUGUCUCUCUAUACCAUCAGCUAUACUCAUGGUACUGCCUCUUCCUGUCUCUCUAUACCAUCAGCUAUACUCAUGGUACUGUCUCUACCAUCAGCUAUACUCAUGGUACUGUCUCUACCUGUCUCUGCAGAGUUUGUACUGUGUCAAUUUAAAAACAAGGCAGCCAUCUUGAUCUGACUAAAUACAUGGGAUACAAUACAACAUGUUUCCAAGUGGACAAGUAUUGUCAGAGAAUAUAUCUAAACCUGGCUGGUAGAAAGACGAUAUUCAAAACUAAACAUGACCACAUCAGCAGGAUUCCCAACAUUCAACUACUUGUCUGAGUCAAGUGGUCUGAUCUCUUGCCUAGUUAAAUAAAGGUUAAAUAAAACAUCUCUCUCUCGCUCUCUACAAAGUUUGAGGGCCCUGGUGUGAGGAAGCUGUCACCCUGCUUGACAGAACCUGACAUUUCCAAAGGUCUGUGAGGAGGAUCGUUUGUGACAGCUUCAAAUUACAGUGUGGGAGAAAGGGAAGGAUGGAGGGACUAUAAAUGUCACUUCCAGGAGGUGAGGGGGAAGGAUGGAGGGACUAUAAAUGUUACUUCCAGGAGGUGAGGGGGAGGGAUGGAGGGACUAUAAAUGUUACUUCCAGGAGGUGAGGGGGAGGGAUGGAGGGACUAUAAAUGUUACUUCCAGGAGGUGAGGGGGAGGGAUGGAGGGACUAUAAAUGUUACUUCCAGGAGGUGAGGGGGAAGGAUGGAGGGACUAUAAAUGUCACUUCCAGGAGGUGAGGGGGAGGGAUGGAGGGACUAUAAAUGUCACUUCCAGGAGGUGUGGGGGAAGGAUGGAGGGACUAUAAAUGUCACUUCCAGGAGGUGAGGUGGAAGGAUGGAGGGACUAUAAAUGUUACUUCCAGGAGGUGAGGGGGAGGGAUGGAGGGACUAUAAAUGUCACUUCCAGGAGGUGAGGGGGAGGGAUUAUAUAUUGUGCCUCUAAAAAAAAAAAAGACGUUACAUGGGCAUUUCUC
rnacentral:lncRNA from 1 species